UUAAGUUCAGCGGGUAGUCCUACCUGAUUUGAGGUCAGAUCUUAAGAAAUUGUCCGAAGACGAUUAGAAGCCACAUCCUUGCAGGCAGCCACCAAGUGCAGAUAAUUAUCACACUCUGAGCCAACCCACGGACAAGCAGCUAAUGUAUUUAAGAAGAGCCGAACAAAGCCAGCAACUUCCAAGUCCAAGCUUCACAGUAA
rnacentral:misc_RNA from 1 species